CCUGACGAAGGGUCUCGGCCUGAAACGUCGACUGCGCCUCUUCCUAUAGAUGCUGCCUGGCCUGCUGCGUUCACCAGCAACUUUGAUUCCAUUCCUAGGAAUGAAGAUUGCUUUGUCUUGAACAAAACCAACAAAGAUAAUGUCGGGGUGGCAGGAAGUAACACGUGGAAUGACAUUGACAUGUGUGUCUCUGACACAGAACUCCUCACACUGGUAAUGCAAAGGUUUCUAACAAUUGGCAAGGUCCAAAAGGAGAAGGACACAUCCUGGUUCCUGGCGAGUGGGUCUUGAUUCAGAAACCGCAUAAGGAACCAUUGGGAGCUGGGUGGAAAGGUCCUUACCAACUGCUGCUAAUCAUCACCUCAGUGCUGAAAAUAGUAAAAACUCGUAAUGUGGACUCUCAUCGGUCAGAGCUGACUAUGGACAUUGCAUCCUAGUUGUCUAGAUACACAAGCCUGAGCAGUACGAUAUGAAGAUCAAGCUGUUGCCCAUGUAGCAAACUCACCGUCUCCAUGCAUCUGAUGAACCCAAAGGAACAGCAGAGACUGACACAGUUUGAUACCAGCAGCAUCACAGGAGUCGCCAGUCAGCAUUGAAUGCAGUGUAGGACUGCCUUGGGGACUCCAGAUCUGGAAUUUUCCCUCAGCGUUUACUCCCAAAGCCUUCCCCAUGAGUGGGUAUAGCCACAAGGUAGCGGAGGUUUGAGAUCAGAGUUUUCUUUCUCUUAGAUGAGCUGUCUACUUGUAUGAUUGACAAUCAAAAAAUUAAUACAAUUCAACAAAACUGCUGUCAAGUCUAAGUUCAUGGAACAAUACAUAAUGGUUAGGGUCUUGUCACUUAGGGUAUGUUUUUUCAUAACACACCUUACCUUUACCUCCUGAGUCUAGAAGUAAAUGAGGCAUUUCAGAAGCAGAUCAUUUUGCAUCAAUUUUAUUCCCAUUUUAUGGAGUUGCAAGGAGUAUAAGAGAGAUUUUUAAAUGUUGCUGCAGCCUUACAAAAGAUCUUCUUUCGCAGAUAAUUGGGGAAUAUGUGCAGUUAUAGGCAAGGAGUGUUGUACUUACAUACCUGACAAGUCUGAAGACAAAACUAAUUUGGCUGAUCAUAUUCAUAAAAUAGCAGCUAAAGUACAUAAAUGUGAUGGAUAUGAUUUCUUUGAUUGGAUUCAUUCAAGUUUCUGAAGCUAGGGUUACUCAAUAUUACAAGUCAUAAUACUCAAACUAAAAUGCCUUAUCAUAAUUUACAUUUUUUACUUGUUUAAUGGCUAUCAUUAACAGUUCAAACUUGUGUAAGUGUGCCCAUGAAUCUGCCUAUCCGUGACAUAAUCUUAUGAUAUUUUGAAGAAUGUAUACUCUUUGAUACUUCAUUACCAAAGAUAUUUUGAGUAUUUUCAUAUUACAAGUUUUUUCUGUCCACAAACUUCAGAUGUAAUGAUUCUAAGUUUGUGAUUUAGAAUCAAAUGGGGAACAUUGGAUCUGAUUGUUUAAUUUUAAUUGUCAUUUUCUCUUUUGCAGUUUAACAAUCUGCUUGUAUUUUCAGCAGCCUAUAUAUGCAUAACAGUUUGGUAUACCUCUAGUGGCUAUACAGUGUAUAAUUCUGAAGCUUUUUUGUCUUUUAUUAAGUGGCUAGUGUUUUCUCAUAGCUUGAUUUCAUGGCUGUAAUGAAUAAGCAUUUUCUUAUUAGUUGUCUCUUAUCCAGGGAAGUUUUUUUUUGUAUAAAAGCCACUGUUUUGUGUUAGGUGUAGUUUUUCUUUAGCUUCUCUCUUCAAGUAGUAAG